UGAAGUGAACCCUAAAGACCUAAAUCAAUCCCUGUAAGGCCGUAACCCAUAUUUUUCACAAACUCAUCUCUCCUCUCUUCUCUGAGAAUCACGCAGCCACCAAUCGCGCCGCAACUGCAGCCCGCCGCCACCGCAUCCCGCAGCCACCACAGCGAUGGGUUUGACCACCGCAGCCCCACUGCAUCGUUGUCACUGCGGGGAUUGCCUUCUCUGUGUUCGCCGGUGUCACGUCCUCUGUCGUCACCGUUGCUCACCGCCGGUAAGUAAUACUGUGUUCCAUGUUUCGCACUUCACAGCCAUCUCCUCGGCAUCUACUUCCUGCUCUGUUCCAUGUUAUUUUUUUCUGUUCUGAUUUUCUGUUAAAGUGUUCAUGAUUUUUUUUUGUUGGGUUAGUACUUUUUUGCUGAGGUUAUUAAUUUAUUUGUUAUUCUAUUCAUGAUUUUGUUGCUAAGGUUAUUGUUUGCUGGUUUAGUAAGUGUUUGCUGAUGUUAUUAAUUUAUUUGUUAUUCUAUUCAUGAUUUGGUUGCUGAGGUUAUUGUUUGCUGGUUUAGUAAUUGUUUGCUGAGGUUAUUGAUUGCUGGUUUAGUUUUAUUGUGGGGUUGGCUGAGUUAAUUUUGUUCAUAAUUUUCUGUGGGGUUUGCUGAUUUUACUAGGGAGUUUGUUGAUUUAAGUUUUACUGUGGAGUUUGUGGAGUUUGCUGAGUUUUACUAGUGUAGACGAGGUUUCUAUCAACUUUGAGAGGAACAAGAGCAGGGUAUUGAUUAGAGUUUAGGCUUUUAAGUUUCUUGUUGAGAUUCUGUGCAAAAGCUGAGUCAUUUCUAGCAGGAAGUUGAAGUUGAGGAAGAGAAGGGAUCAGUAUUUGAGAUGCCUUUGUAUUGGAAUAUAGCUGUGGUGGUUUUGUUGUCAACUGAGAUUGGAGCAUCCAUAAAGACCCUUUGUAGCCAUGAAGUACCUGCUUGGAACAAUGUUGGCAUGGACUAAAACAUGUGGUUU